rnacentral:snRNA from 1 species
GGAUGUGAGGGCGAUCUGGCUGCGACAUCUGUCACCUCAUUGAUUAGCAGGGUUGAUUCGGCUAUCUGGCUGGGUAGGCAGGUGUCCCUUUCCUCCCUCACUGCUCCAUGUGUGUCCUUCCCAAAGCUGUGAGCUUGGUGGAAGAGGACGACCAUCCCCAAAAGAGGAGGACUGUUCUUCAGUCAAGGGCAAUCGAAUAGCUGCACUCCCCUGCUAGAACCUCCAAAUAAGCUCUCAAAAAAUGAUUGCCAAGGUGAAAAACAAAAAAAGAAAUAAAAUGGGAAAGAAGUGAGGUGUAGGGGACAGACACACACACACACAGAGUUAUAUUUCU